ensembl:lncRNA ZNF433-AS1 ZNF433 and ZNF878 antisense RNA 1
UUUAUGCUGCACAAAAGCUGUGAGUCUUCUGCCUGGGGAACCCCCACAAAAAGUUCCAACAGGGGUCUGUGGACACUUGCCAGUAGGGACAAUCAGAUUACUUCUAGGUAGAUCUAGUUUAAAUUUAAAAGGAGUGCAAGUACAUACAGGAGUCACUGAUUCAGAUUACAAUGGGAAAUUCAAAUUGUUAUAGCUACUUCUGUUCCCUGGAAAGCAGAGCCAGGAAAGCACAACUCCUGAUUGUGCCAUAUGUGGAAAUGGGGAAAAGUGAAAUUAAACGAACAGGAGGAUUUGGAAGCACAAAUAAACAAGGCAAAGCAGCUUACUGGGUGAAUCAAAGUAUUGAUAAAUGUCCUACCUGUGAAAUAACUAUUCAGGGAAAGAAAUUUAAAGGAUUGGUAGAUACAGGAGCAGACAUUUCCAUCAUUUCUCUACACCACUGGCUGUCCGCAUGGCCAAUUCAACCCACUCAAUUUAACAGAGUUGGAGUUGGUAAAGCCCCUGAAGUAUAUCAAAGAAUCUGUAUUUUGCAUUGUGAAGGGCCCAAUGGACAACCUGGGACUAUUCGAUCAAUUGUAACUUCUGUACCUAUAAAUUAAUGGGGGAGAGAUUUUACUGCAACAAUGGGGAGUACAAGUUCUAAUUCCAGAGCAAUUAUAUAGCCCUGAAAGUCAACAUAUGAUGCAUGAAAUGGGGUAUGUCCUAGGAAAAAAAUUGCAGGGUUUGAAGGAACUGCUCCAAGCAGAAAGACAAAGUUCCCACCAAGGUUUAGGGUAUCAUUUUUGAUGGUGGCCAUUGUUAAGCCUCCAGAAACUAUACCUUUAAAAUGGUUAACAGAUAAGCCAAUUUGGAUAGAACAAUGGCCGCUAAGUAAAGAAAAACUGGAGGCUUUAGGGGACUUAGUUACUGAACAAUUAGAAAAAGGACACAUAGCUCCAACAUUUCCCCCUUGGAAUUCUCCAGUCUUCGUAAUUAAGAAAACAUCAGGUAAACGGAGAAUGUUAACUGACUUAAGAGCCAUUAAUUCAGUUAUAUAACCUAUGGGGACAUUACAGCCAGGACUGCCUUCUCCUGUGGAUUCCAAAAAAUUGGCCUUUAAUUGUCAUAGAUUUAAAAGACUGUUUCUUUACUAUCCCUUUAGCUGAGCAAGACUGUGAACGGUUUGCAUUUACAAUUCCUGCAAUAAACAACCUGCAGCCUGCUAAGCAUUUUCACUGGAAAGUGUUGCCAUAAGGCGUGUUAAACAGUCCAACAAUUUGCCAGACUUAUCAAUUGAAAACAUUAAAUGACUUUCAAAAAGUACUAAGGGAUAUCAACUGGAUACAACCUGCUCUAGGCAUUCCUACCUAUGCUAUGAGUAAUCUGUUUUCUAUCCUUAGAGGAGAUCCUAGUCUCACUAGGCAAUUAACAAAAGAAGCUGAGGCAGAGGUACAGCUGAUUGAAAAGUAAGUCCAUAAAGCUCAGAUAAAUAGAAUAGAUCCAGAGAAGACUCUAGAUUUGCUAAUUUUUUCAACUCAGCAUUCACCUACUGGUGUUAUUGUCCAAGAGCAGGACUUAGUAGAAUGGCUUUUUCUUCCACAUACUAACUCAUGGACUCUUAACUCCUUAUCUGGAUCAAAUCGCUACUAUGAUAGGAAAUGGGAGAACUCGGAUUGUUAAAUUACAUGGAUAUGAUCCUGGAAAAAUUAUUGUCCCUCUCACAAAGACACAAAUACAGCAAGCUUUUAUAAACAGUCUUACUUGGCAAACCCAUUAGCUGACUUUGUGGGUAUUCUCGAUAAUCAUUUUCCUAAAAGAAAACUAUUUCAAUUUUUGAAAUUAACUAAUUGGAUUCUCCCUAAAAUAACUAAAUUUAAACCAAUUGAAGGUACUGAAAAUGUCUUCACAGAUGGGUCUAGUAAUGGUAAAGCUUCUUAUUCCAGCUUGAAAGGUAAAGUUUUUCAGAAGCCCUGUACUUCGGCUCAAAAAGCAAGAGCUUGUAGCUGUAAGUGAGGUAUUGACUGCUUUUGAUAUGCCUAUUAAUGUGAUUUCUGAUUCUUUGUAUGUGGUUCAUUCCACACCAUUAGCUGAAAAUGCUCAGUUGCCAUUUCAUACAGAUGAACAACUGAUGACUUUAUUUACCCAAUUGCAAACAGCAGUUAGAAAUAGAAUACACCCUUUUUACAUCACUCACACUAGGGCUCAUACACCUCUUCCAGGACCUUUAACUGAAGGGAAUCAAAUGGCUGAUGGCCUAGUUGCUACUACAAUAUCUAAUGCCAGACACUUUCACAAUUUAACCCAUGUUAAUGCCUCUGGUCUCAAAUGCAGAUACAGCAUUACCUGGAAAGAAGCUAAAGCUAUUAUUCAGUGAUGCCCAACUUGCCAAAUGGUGCAUUCCUCAUCUUUUAUAGGAGGAGUUAAUCCUCAAGGAUUGGAACCUAAUUCUCUUUGGCAAAUGGAUGUCACACAUGUUCCCUCGUUUGGGAGACUAGCUUAUGUACAUGUAUGUGUGGACACCUUUUCUCAGUCUGACUGGGUUACAUGCCAAACAGGAGAGUCUUCUGCCUGUGUUAAACGUCACCUUUUGCAGUGUUUUGCAGUGAUGGGCAUUCCAGCUUCUAUUAAAACAGAUAAUGCCCCAGGCUAUACUAGCCAAGCUCUAGCUACAUUUUUCUCCAUAUGGAAUAUUAAACACAUUAUUGGCAUUCCAUACAAUUCUCAAGGAUGAGCCACAGUGGAAAGAAUGAAUCUGUCCCUGAAACAGCAGUUGCAAAAGCAAAAAGGGGGAAACAGGGACUACAGGACACCCCAUAUGCAACUGAAUCUAGAAUUAUUGACUUUAAAUUUUUUGAGCCUGCCUAAAGGCCAGAUGCUAUCAGCAGCUGAACAAUAUCUACAGAAACCAGCUGCAAAGACAGAAGCAGAACAACUGGUUUGGUGGAGAGAUCUGAUAACAAAAAGUUGGGAAAUAGGUAAAAUAAUAACUUGGGGUAGAGGUUAUGCUUGUGUUUCCCCAGGAUGAAAUCAACAGCCAAUCUGGGUGCCAUUGAGACAUCUAAAGCCUUACUAUGAGCCAGAUACCCAGGAAGAGGUUUUGGGAGGAUCCCAAAGACUCCCUGGUUGCAGCCAUGUCAAGACUGAUGCUGAGGAGGACCCCAACUGUCACGAGCAACAACUGCCUGGGGACAGAUCAAGAAGCUGUCACAGAUGGCAGAGAAAAACCUGAGAAAAGCGGGACAACCAGUCACAAUGAGUAAUUUAAUGAUAGCUAUGACAGUGGUGAUCACCAUUGCCAUGAGUAUUCCUUCAACAAGGGCUGACACAGAGAACAAUUACACUUAUUGGGCAUAUUUAUCAAUCUUGGCUGGCAAUAAUGCCUGGAUGUGAUCACUCUAUGACACAGUUACACAUGCUUUCUGGUCUCAGUAUUUACCAUAAUAAUCUGCUCCUAUAAUUGAGGCAUACUGCCCUCAAAAAACUAUUUGUAAACAGGAUUGGACCUGGUCAGAAAAAAUGAACGUACUUGUUUGGGAAGAUUGCAUUGCAGAACAGGCAGAGGUGCUGCACAACGAUUCCUAUGGAGUCAUUAUUGAUUGUUCCCCUAAGGGGAUGUUUAGCUUGAAUUGCACCUCUCAGUCUGCCUGCCAUGGCCACACUAUGUUCAGCUGGUCUGAACAAAAUGGUCAGAUGGUAGAAAUGAUAAGAAGUAUGGCAAGAGUUCCUAUUAUCUGGAAACAUGGUGGUAUAGUGGCACCUCAACCUCAAAUGAUAUGGCCUGCUGUAGGAGCUAAACAUAAGGAUUUGUGGAAACUAUUAAUGGCUCUUAAUAAGAUCAAAAUUUGGGAAAGGAUAAAAAAGCAUCUAGAAGGACACUCUAGAAACUUGGAUAUUGCAAAAUUAAAAGAACAAAUAUUUAAAGCAUCCCAGGCACACCUGACCUUAAUGCCAGGAACUGGAGUGCUUGAAGGAGCUGCAGAUGGAUUAGCAGCUAUUAACCCAUUAAAAUAGAUAAAAACAC